rnacentral:tRNA from 3 species
CAGGUGCCGGGGCUUCUCCCGUUU